rnacentral:rRNA from 1 species
CUCGUAGCUUGCUAUGAGAACAAUUAGUGGCAGACGGGUGAGUAAUGCAUAGGAAUCUACCUAGUAGUAUAGGAUAGCCACUAGAAGUGGUGGGUAAUACUGUAUAAUCCCUGCGGGGGAAAGAUUUAUCGCUACAUGAUGAGCCUAUGUUAGAUUAGCUAGUUGGUGGGGUAAUGGCCUACCAAGGCAGUGAUCUAUAGCUGGUCUGAGAGGAUGAUCAGCCACACUGGAACUGAGACACGGUCCAGACUCCUACGGGAGGCAGCAGUGGGGAAUAUUGGACAAUGGGCGCAAGCCUGAUCCAGCUAUGCCGCGUGAGUGAGGAAGGCCUUAGGGUUGUAAAACUCUUUCAGUGGGGAGGAUAAUGACGGUACCCACAGAAGAAGUCCCGGCAAACUCCGUGCCAGCAGCCGCGGUAAUACGGAGGGGGCAAGCGUUGUUCGGAAUUAUUGGGCGUAAAGGGCAUGUAGGUGGUUUGGUAAGUUAAAGGUGAAAUGCCAGGGCUUAACCCUGGAGCUGCUUUUAAUACUGCCAGACUGGAGUCCGGGAGA